rnacentral:RNase_P_RNA from 1 species
CUGGAUUAACGAUUGGUCGCCCGCCUUAAAGCGGGAGGAAAGUCCGGGCAGCAAAGGGCAUUGGCAGUUGCUAACGGCAACCGGGGGCAACCCCAGGGAAAGUGCCACAGAAACGACACAACCUGUCUUUCUAAAGAAGACCGGAAAUGGUGAAACGAGUGGGGUAAAAGCCCACAGCUGUGCCUGGUGACUGGCACAGGAGGUAAACCCUGCCUGCUGCAAGGAGAUAUGUCGCAUAUAGAGUUCCCGCUCGCGACUUGUCAUAAGAACCGCUUGACCCGCCGAGCGAUUGGCGGGCUAGAUAGAUGGCCAAAUAAAACAGAACCCGGCUUACGGUUAGCCCAGACCA